AUCAAUAAUUUAUUAAUCUUAAUACGAACGUCCGUACGGUAUUUCAAUUGACAAUAAAGACAUUUAUUUUUCCUAUCUUCCAAUUGAAUUCUAGUCUGAUACUAUAUAGGCAACGUAUGACAAUUAUGCAUCCUGUUCGAUCUUGCAGGCCUCAGCAGCUUCUCGUUGCCCAAGAUGAGAUCGAAGCAGUGGCAAUCUCUACGAUAGAGUCCAGUCUAUAUUAAGUAAAAAUGAUAAAUGAUAUUCAGCGACUUCGCGUAUCUUGCUGCACAGUUUGCUAAGAUGGCGAUAUACGUCCUAGCUGUCUACGCGUGGGUUAUUUAAUACCCACUGUGUCCACUUCUAAAUACGUUACUCGACACUUAGCUAGGUAUUAUAUUCUUUAGCUAGUGUGCACUACGAAAUGGGUGGGUUGGUACUCCUGAUUACGUUUAAAUCGAUCAAUUCGAAACCGAUUGACGAUACAGUAUUUACUGUCACUUAAGGAUAAGACUUAUAAAUCGAUACGUGCAGUGCGAACGUAAGACAAAGUGUAUCAAGAUGUAUUUUGACAUUUGACAAUAAUUCCCGCUAUGAUCGUUCGCAUACAUUAAAUUUGUGGCAAGAUUGCUUCACGUAUUUCGAAUUCAUAAGUAUCCGAUGUCUUUGACAGGUAUAAUAUAUAUGUGCGAUUUUAUGUUGCGCGUGAAAAAAGAAAUGGCGCCUUUUUAAACUUGGAGAAUUUCUUAUAAAUGUCAGGCAUUGACGUAAGAACGGUUCGACGCAAUUUUUUUUACAAUUCCUAUCAACAUAUUUUAUCUAUAGUUUAUGCAGUCUUAUCGUUAUAUAAGGAUUUAUCGAAUUUCUUUUAUAUUACUCUUCGAGUCAUUCGUUUUUCACGUAAUACAGUGAUAUCGAAGAGGAGUAAUUCUCGCGUGGAAUUAACGUGGCAUUUGGUUCUGAAGUACCAAUAAAAUUAUCUAGGUCGUUGAGCUUGUUGACUUUGUUAAUUUUAGACUAAUUGAAAUACGUGAGGAGCGACAGGUUCAUUUAAAUACACUGUACGCGGUAUACGAUUUGUAUGUACAAGUAGUUGGAUAGCAGUCUGGGCUCUGAUAAAGUGUAUAAAACAUUAAUGAGUUAUCAGUAUACCAAAUUAAGCCGUAAGGUAAAUUCUUCACGAGCAAGCCUCCGUGUAUAUACCGGGUGACAGUUUGCGUAAAGUAAAUUUAACGAAAUAGAUAAAACCGUUGACAAUCGUCGCGCUCCAGUUUCAGGAUGCUUCCAGCGCGACAGUAUUAAAAAAAAAAAAAAAUUGGCUCUUUAAGCCUUUUCGUCCGGUCCCAAGUCACAGGAUAUUAAGCCAUACUGAUUUCAGUCACGAAAGGAUGAGCAGGCUUCGUCGAACGGUCAAGAGAAGCAGAUAAAAGAAAAAAGAAAAAACCCUCACGAUUUACGAGGAUCCAGAGUGUAAUUUCAAGGAGGAAGGAAACUAUGUAAAUUAUCUUUACCCUGAAAUCUACGAGGGAUCAGACAUACCAUGUAACACUCUUGAUGGGGUACAUCCUGGCUUCCUCCUCCUUCGUCAAGGUCGGGUAAUACAUCUUCUCGAGGAAUUUCGUGAAUACAGGAUGCAGACGAUCGUUCCCACGUGGAAAAGACACCGGAGAGCCAAGAUGCGGAUUAGUCGUUAUCAGUCGCCGUGACGAAAACGUAACGUGAACGUUUCACCACUGAGACACAAGACGUUUCACGUUGUCAGCGAGAAUCAUCCCAGGAGGUGUCUGUUUUGACGAUUCCCUGAUCUUCAAGGGAAGUCUGACGUCAGUGUUAAUGAUCUUGCGACUGGGUCAAUAAUCGCUAUGGAUAUUCGACGCACCCUCGAUGAUAAUCGAAGCGUUUCGAUUCGCCUUGAUAAGAAGACCGGGAAGAUUAAUCGGUGUAAGAAAUCCACCGGUGCACUCUUCCAUCACUCACCAUGUACACGUUUGCCUUUCAAUCGCGAGAGACUGUUUAAAAGAUGCAUCUUGCAUACGUCGUGACGUCGACAUCGUUAAAAGGUUAAAGUACCCAACCGUCUGACAUUCUGCCUUUAACGGGGGCUAAUUGACAGCAAAUAUCACGGAUUAUGUCUGAAUGAUGCACUGUAGUGGUUUUCAAUGAAGAAUCGAUGCUCGACACUGUUUUAAAUACUUUGAGUUCUCGAGCGAGAUCCUUUAGAGGGAGAUUUCGUAUAGUUAUCUCUGUUAUGAAGAAUUGUACGAACGUUAAGAUACACGAGAGCACGGGUGACGUGAUAUCUUUCGCGCGUUGGGUUAAGAGUGAAUUAUCACCGUUUUAUUUCAUUUGUCAGCGGGAUUCACACUACCGAUUAUUUUCAAGUAUUGGGUAAUCAUAGUAAACACACGUGAAUACGAAUGGGAAACGAAAGGCUCUUCCGGGCGUGGGAGUCGAGCGAGAAAAUAAGUAAGGCUCGUGUAUUUCGUAGAGGAAUCGAGCACGCGACUAUCGGAAACCUAUAUACCGGGGGAACCGGCGUGCGUUCCAUAGAUUGCAUUUGACUGGGAGGGUGAGAAUGCAGCUGCUCCCGAACUUCCCUUUUCUGCCCCCCAUGUGUAUAGAACGAUUGGACGAAAUCUACGAGGUGUAUUACGCCAGCUUCUAAAUCGCUUACUGAUUUCUAAUGGAAACUCCAGUGAAAGCGGGCCCGAUCGAUAUUUUCACUGGAAUUACGAUUUUUUCAAGUCUUGCCGCAAUUAUCGCUUCUCGCUGAAACUGAAUCAGGUUUAUCCGCCAUGUUAUUUAGAACAAGACAGUCGGUUUUUUUGUACCUCGAAAGAACUUUUUUACCGUUUACGCGCGAGUUACCCGUUACGGAGUGCACCUAUCCAGGUUGACAAAUUUCUUAAGACAGUGCAUAAGCACGAGCCGAGUAAUGAACUUUUGCAACAGCGAUACAAGACAGUUCACGGGAUCGUAGAACUUCUUCACUUUGUAUAUUCAGUAUAAAUACUUCACUCUUCCGUAUCAGGUACGUUUAACCAAAGAGUAGGAAACUGUCUUUACUAGAAAAGUAAUCGCUCGAUAGUUGAUUAUGGAGCUAUUGAUCACGUAUAUUUGCUGAUACUAAAGAUUAGCUCAUAAAUUUUUACACUUCGUAAGAUAAGGGUACUUCGGUAUAGCCAUAUCGAAUAAAAAAAAUUCAAUGUACACGAUUUUCGUAUCACGUGUAAGAUCGAAUUACAUGCUUCUAUUUAAUUUCGUUCCGAAUGUAUAAUUUUUAUUUCAAUUUUUAAUUACAGACAAGGCCAUCCCACUUGAUCCGUACGCUGACACUAAAAUGACGAUCAUACGAAGCCGGUCGUGCAACGGCCGCGGUUGCCGUUAAACUGUUGAUCCUACCCUCUGACACUUUUCACGUGGAGACGAAUUUCGAAGCCGGAGGGAGUCAGGUAUGCGAGUUGGCUGCCAGUAAGAGGGCGUAGGCGCUCAAGACUCGCUCUGUGGUCGGACCAAUCAGAAUUGGAGAGCUUGAACGUAAGAAAUAUACGUUACGUUCGAUUGGAAGGACAGUAGCAGGACGAUGGAAUGCAUUAUAAGAGAAUGAAGAACCCUCGUGCAUAGCGCUUGGAGAAUAUUCGCGCGACGAUCACUUUCGUCGGGAAUGCGUCGAGCCGAUGAAACGUAGAAGCAUGCGUCGUGUUUCCCACGGUUACGCAGGUAACCAAAACUUUUACAGCACUGUCUGGCGGAUAAAUCCUCUUAAAGGACGAUAACCUCAAGGAAUGUAAGGACAUGAAGCUAUGCUGUUACAGGGUUAAUCUGGACCAAUGGUAAACUUUAAAUAGCUGCAGUAAACUUGACGCGUGAGGCGGAAAUUAACCGAAGCAAAAAGAACUGCAAGAGUCUGGAAUUUUCAACAGUUGGUAAUGCAGGGCACGGCCCGAAAUUUAUGGCCACUUCAAGCUCUACAGGCCACAUUCCACCAGUGUAUUUUUCAGUCACGUACGGCAAGGCCAUCUGUCUUUAAUUGUCACUGAACACUACUGUGGGAAAGAAACAAGAUAUAUUGUGCAAGUAUUUAAAGAAAGUUUCGACAGUUUCACCCACAGUCACGUCUGACGUCAACGUAGAUACCGAUUAAUGCAUGUCCUGGUUGCUUCGCAGACGCCUGGAGCAAUUAAAGUAAAUUAGUUUAUUUCACUUAUAAAUAUAUAGUGCCCUUAAAGCUUAUAGGUAAUUUGUACAAGUAUAGGCAGUUACAAGAGGAUAUUAAGCGGGACCAAUUGCUAAGCUGAGCGACAAGGUGAUCCGAGAGAAAUCAAGAUGAAGAAGACCAUGAAGAACACAUACUCGUUAUCAUCCUCGCUACGCUACCGACUAAUGGUAGCUGGACAAGAGCCUUAAUGGCAAAUUGCUCGUGACACAAUUAACUAGGGUCGUUGCAGCUAAAACUUUAAUGCAGCUUGCAAUGGCUGCAGCGUUGAGUGCGCUUUAAAAAAUUUGUAGUAAAUUCUUCCGCAUUACUAGCUUAGCUCUGGGCUAUCAAUAUUCGUGCAUGUAUAUAUAUACACACAAGCGUGUUAUUUCUUUACUGACUAGCAGCAAGAAGGCAUACGUGACUACACGGGUAUUACUGCAUAGUAAAAUCUUACUGUAUCUAACGUGCAGUGCUGUAAGAUGCCAUGGUAGAAGAAAAUUGUACUUGAUAGUAUUAAGUUAUUCCGAGCGUAAGACGAUAGUUUCAUGAUUUAAUUAUUUUUUGCUAUACUAACGUUUCAUCACGUAGAAAGGUCAGGCUCGGUUACGUAUAUUUCAAUGAUUGGCACAUUAAAAAUGAAAUGUUAGUACGGAAAUAAGCAUAAAAAUAUGGCCAAGGAAAUCUAUACUGUUUGCGAAUUAAGAAUUAGUAAAUUAUUAAUGAACAUUAUAUUCUAAUCAAUAUUACUUUUGCACUCAACCGCAGGGAGUUAUACGUAUCUAUUGCAUUAGGAGUAAGAGAAUCCAAUCAUCUUGAUACUCUGUAUUCGCGAUAUACCUGCACUCGAUAUGAAGCACACAUUGUUAUUAUUACACUGUA